UUAAGAAAACUAAUGCAUACUCAGAAAAUGGUAUUUUAAGAAUAUUUAUACACAAAAUGGACACAUUGAAUACGCUACGUAGAAAUUCGUAAUAGAGUUGCAAAAUUGUAAAACUUACGCAGCCCAUUGCAUUCCAUUGACAGCAAAAGCAGAAGAUAUAGGGGUGUUAGGAUUGAUAUCAUAGUAAGGUACUAAACCAACCACAACAAUGGAUACUAUCAUAUACAAUCCACAACAUAGUGACAAUGAAGCUGCAAUUCCUAGUGGCAAAUCUCUCUGAGGAUUUUUCACCUGUUAAAUCAAAGUAAAACACUAUUAGACAGUUUGAACAUACUCUCAAGGUUUUUGAUGUGCUGCGACNUUUUUUUUUUCUUUUCACAAUUAAGAUUAUUGGAUGACUUUUGAAAAAAAUAAUAACGUUGUUUCUUAACUUAUGCAGCCGGUUGUCAGGUAAAUAAAUAAGGAAAUUGGAUGACGUGGCAAUUUAUUAUUGGUGUGUGUUAAAAGGGUGUGUCCCUAGCAUUUCUCAAAAAAAUAUCCAAGUUUUAUGUUUUUAAUUAGUGUUCUUUAAUUUUCUCAAAAUAAAAAAUAUAAUUAUAUUUUAUAAAUUAUCCAUCAUGAGAACUUGUGUUCUAUGAAAAUAAAAGCUUUGUUAAAAAAAAGCUUACUAUUGAAUUCAUGGUCUGAUUGAAUUCUUUGGUCAAAAUUGACGUUAUGAAGUCAAAGUUGUGGAAUUCAAGUGAGUAAGCUCUCCUACUGCAUGUGCUAUGGCACGUGUGUGUUUUUUUGUGCAGCAUCUCUGAUAAAAUUUUAUGUGAUCAAUUAUUUGGUCAAGAUUCUUAUAAAAGAAAUUGAAAGACAAUAAAAAAUAUUACUACCUCCGGUCCUAUUUAUAAGAGAAAUUUAGGUCAACAUAAAUGAAUGUAUUUGGACUGAAUUUUUAACUAGAUACAUCAACUUUUGUUGACCCAAAAUUCUCUUAUAAAUAGGACCGGAGGGAGUAUUUACUAAAAUUGACGUUAUUAUGUUACAAAAACUUUCUUUACCGAAGAUGAAUGUUAUGGUGCAGAGAAAUGCUAGCAAUACAUAUUUUAACACACAUUUUUUAAUAUAUUAUUUUUUAUUGAUUAAAAUUCAUAUGAGAUCCGGCAAAUUUAUACGGGACCCACCAAAUUUUGCGGGACAUAUGUGAAUUUUAACCAAUCAAAAAGAUUGUGUUGGAAAGUAUGUGUUAGAAUGUGGGUUGCUAGCAUUCCGUCCGUGAAACUUCUUCAAGAAUGACAUCUUGUAUGAAUCUUCUUAGCAAAUUGUUUUUGCGAUAUGCUAACAUAUGUCAUCAUAUGCCAUUACAGAAUAUGUUAAGGAUCCUAUAAAUAUCAAGUAUCUAUUGAGAAUAACUAUUGUUUCAAAUAUAAUGCUAACUGGAACGAGUUCUACAAGUGAUAUUUGUUCCCUCGACAAAAAAAAAAUGUUUGUGGUAUUCCUCUCUCACCAAACUCAAUACAAACCUCAGUAGACAUGAAAGUUUUGCAUAGGGGUGGCAAAACGAAUCUAAUCCGUCGUGUCAGCCCGUUUAGCCAAUUAUUUUUGGUAGAUUGAGUCAAAAUUUUGAACUCAUUUUUUACAGUUGGUUCGUUCCACUUAACUCGUUAAAACAAUGGGGCGGGGAGGGCCGUCCCGGUCUGCUUAACUCAUUUUUCUUUUAUUUUUAGACUUAUUUUAUCAUUUUGGAUUUAUUUUGGUUGUUAGAUUUAUUUUAUGAUUUAUUUUUUGUUGCAAAUUUGUUUUAUGUUGGCGGAUUUUCCUUCUUUUGCUAUUAAGUAUAAUUUUAAGUUCGACAAUUUGUUAAUUAUCUUGUUUUUACCACAAAUUUAUUUGUCGCCUAUUCUUUUAUAUUUUUUCAUGAUUAAAGCAACAUAGUAUUUUGUAACAUUAAAUUGUAAAAAAAAAAUGCAUUAAAAAAAUUUGUUUUUUUCUCACAAAAAAAAAAAUUGUUUGGUAGACCGGCCCGCCAACUCAUCUACCCAUCACUAAACGAGGCGGGGGUGAAAUUUUGGUCUUGAUCACCUAAUUUGAUUCGGUUUGUCUCGUCCUGUUUUAAGCAAGUUUAGACGGAAUAGACUGGUCCACUUUAUCAUCCCUAAUAUUACAUUACCGAUUAUAUUGGACUCGACCUAAAGUUAGAGGAGUCAAUCUAAUGAAUUUAAUUUGUCCUCUCUUUAAAACAAUUCAUAAAAACUCAAUAAAGCGAGUUUUUAAAUCUUAAUAUUAAUUUUUCUAAAAGAAAUAUUUUUUGAUAAGGCAAAAGUAAGUAAUAAAAUUCAAGUGAGGGCUUGAACCCUUAUACAGCCAAAGUGCAAAAAUUACACAAAAGAAAGACAGACAAGUAUAGCCACAACAGGCCAACUAUUGAUAUUUCUUUAAAAGAAAUAUUGAUAUUAAUUAUACAUUAGAUAUUUAUAUUAACAAAUUGUUGAUUGAAAAAUCAACAGUACUUUCAUGUAAUAUUCAUAAUUAACAUGAUCAAUUUCUUCUUCUCUAAGUUAAAAAAUACAAGAAGAAGCUAUGAACAUGACCUAUAAACCAUAAAUAUUUUUGCCCUAAUGAGAUAGGCUUUAAAUAAUGCUUGUGGAGGUGUAAUUAGUAGUAUCAUCAACUUGAAUAGGCUUCAAAUAAACCGUAUCUUUUAGAGAGCUGUGGGUUCUACCAUAGAAUACAUAAACAAAAACUCCUAAUACUAGCCAUACAGAUACUCGCACCCAAGUUGCACCCCUUCAAAAAUAUAAAACACAAAUUAUAGAAUUAGUUAAUAAAGUUGUGACAUUAAAGGGACAAAAAAAGGUCCUUGUGAGAGAAAAAUGCUAUAGCAAAUAAAAUUCAUAAAUGAUAUGUUAGAUAUUUUAUUAGACUAAUUCAACUCUAUAAAAUUGACUUGUAAUAUAUCAACUUGUAAUGUUAGAAUUGUCAAAGUCUUAUAAACUUCAUUUUGGGUCUAAUUUAACAUGGAUUUGAGUUCUAAAUAUCCUCAAUACUCUCUUCACCCUUAAAAACACAAUAUAAUUUUUUAUUUUUUAUUUUUUUAAAACACUAUAACAUUUUUCUUUUUCUUUUUUUUAAAAAAGUAAUGUUUUUUUACUAGGGGACCUAUCUUUACAAUUAGAGCCAAAGCCUCCAAUUUUAUAGGAACGGCCCUGAAUCUAGUCAGCACCUUUAAUGGGGUUUCCUCCUCUUAACCAUAUUUUAUUUCAUCAACAAUACUCGAACCCAAUACUUUGCUUAAGAGAUCCGAUUCAAUUACACUCGAACCAAUGUAAUAUUGAUCUUUUGUGAUAAUUUCUUUAGAGGAGUAAAUUAAUGUUAUUCUAACUUUCAGGGUUAACAAACUAAUGUCCUCAAAGACUGACUUAAUCUCACUUGAUCUUUUAGAAAUAUAUUAGAUUUCUUUAAAAAAUAUUGAACAGAAAGUCAUAUAUACUUUCAAAUUUCAAUAUAGAUACUUACCCAAGACUAAUGAGUAAAUAUGAAUUGAUAAGAAUGCAAGUUAUAGGAAGCAAAGGCACCCAUGGACAUGUGAAACCUGAAAACAAAUUGCAUAGAAACAUGACAUUAACUCACAUUGGUUGCAUAAAAUAUUACCAUAAAUAAAUGUAAACCAUACCUCCAGUGUUUCCAAAGUUGUGUCUUGCAUCAUCUUGAUCUAUACAUGUUAGGAAGACUAAGCCAGACAGAAGAAGAAUGCUACCAACUCCACAUAAUGUAAAUCUAACAUAACUGAAAAUAACAAAACAUAAAAUGUGAUUUUAGUUAUUCUUCUAGAAAUACUUAAAUGGUAUGCAACAUUAAUAAAGUAUAUAAUGUAAAUGCUACCCUCUAAACUAACCUCAGAAGAUAUGUAGAAGAAGCUGCAAAUGUAAGGACAAAUACACCUAAACAUAUGACUGCUACAACACAGCCCACAAUUGUUCUCCUAUUAACAUUAUGUACAUCUGCAUCCAUAAAUUAGAGGGAAAUAACUAAAACGAAACUAUAUAUAAUAACAAUAAAUUAGUGUAACUAAAGGAACAUUAAUUGCAUAUGUAGAGCAAUAAAUGUUAUAAUUUGCACCGACACAAACACUGAACACGACACUAGUACGUCAACACAAAUACAAUUUUAGAAAAUUGUUUAAUUUAAUGUAACCGCGUGUGUUUUUUUUUACCGCGAUGGUGUCGGACACUGACAUGUGCCCAACACCGAUACAUGUCCAACAUCAGGCGACAUGCCUUCAACGUGAUUUUGCAUGAUUGAGAAACUAAAUAGAAAAUAAAAAUCAGGACUUACAGUUAUCUAUUGCAAGAUUUUUAUCAAUUAAGGGUUUUUGGAUCGCUUCUUUUUCAUUUGUCUCCAAAUGGCUCCAACCAUACUCCAUUGACUCAGAAUCAAUUGGUUCUUGUUGAGAAUGGGGCAAUGGGACUUCAAUUGGUGGGAUAUAUCUUACUAUCAACACAGAUAUUGCUGCAAUGGUGAAUGCAAGAAGAGUACCAACACUAACCUGUAGAAGACAAGCAAAAUACACUUUAGUACUAUAAUCUAUUAUUUUAAAAACCGGACCGAACUGGCCAGAUUCAAUAUGUUAAACAUAAAACCGGCUAGUUCGUCAAUCGGUUUGUUUUCGGUUAUACUGCAGUCUGGUUGAACCACAAUCCAAUUGCAGUUGGUUCAACCGGUUGAGCCGCUAUUUCUAACAACUGCAAAUAUAGAUUAGACUUACCAUGCCAGCAAGUUGAGAGACAUCCAUGAAAAAUGCCAAGGCGGCAGCAACAAGGCCGGUAACUAUGGUACUCUUUACAGGAACAUGGCUGUGCUUAUUUAUAUCAGAAAAAAAUGGUGGCAGCAAUCCGUCCCUUGCCAUAGCCAUCAAAAUUCUUGGCUGAGAGGCAUUAAAUAAAAAGCACAUCAAUAAUUCAGCUUAAAUUUUGUUUUAGUGGAUCAUUGAUUUACUUGGAGAUAAUUUUUAUUAGGCUGAUUAUUAUAUACUUAUAGUAGGAAUUUUCUUUUUUAAAUGAAAAUUUUCGAAAAAAGAGAAGGAAUACCAAGAAACCUCAUUGAGUUUAUUUUAUUAGAGUUUAGUACUCUCUGUUUGUUUGUUAGUUUGUUUUCUUGAUGGUUGUGUUAGUGUACAUAUUAUUUUAUUUAAGUUAAUCCUUUUCAAGCCAUGUUAGUCUUAGGAGGUUGGAACAGAUGAAUGAAGCUUGUCUGAUCAAGCUAGGUUGGAAAUUGAAGAAUGGAGAUAAUGCACUUUGGUGUAGUGUGCUAAAAUGCAAGUAACAUUUCUUUGAAUAUGGUGAUAGCUAGACCGAGUGAUUCUAGUCUAUGGAAAAACUUGGUUCAUUUGUGGCCAACUAUGUGUUCUAUGGUGCGCUAGGUUGUUCGAAAUGGUGAAAGAGUUUGGGAGGAUUUAUGGGUGGAUCAAGGGUUGCGAUUUCUGAUACGGACAGUAGCAUACCAUCUGAUAUGUGUGAGUGUGACUGCAAAGCUUUAGACUUUGUCGACAUUGAUGGAGGUUGGCGGCUACACGAUCUGCAGCAGUAGCUGUCAAUUGAUAUUGUUAACAAAAUCAAAUCUAUACCAGCCCCUCAUGAAGAGCUUGGCCCGGAUAAUUGAAUGUGGCCUGGAGCUAAGUUGGUGAAUUUUUCAUAUCAUACACUUAUCAUGAAUUAUGUGGUUUCUUUAUUGAUAAUGUGUCUAAUGUUUGGACUCACGUGCGUGUGGAAAUUAAAAGUUCCAGAGAGGAUUCAAUGUUGUGUGGAUAUCAUAGAAUGCAUAUCAGUACGGAGCAUUGCUAUCAUUGUGGAGACAUCGCGGAAACAGCUUUACAUGAACAUGAAAUUUAACAGAAAUUGCAAAACAAAAUUUGAGGAGAAGAGGGUUCCAAUUAGUUUUACCUGAGGCAACAUUCCACCAAGCAAUGAUGAACAAAGUGCUGUGAUAGCCCCGGCAUUUAUAAUGUAUCUGUAAUUACAAUCAUGAAAAAUGACUUAAGAAAACUAAUGCAUACUCAGAAAAUGGUAUUUUAAGAAUAUUUAUACACAAAAUGGACACAUUGAAUACGCUACGUAGAAAUUCGUAAUAGAGUUGCAAAAUUGUAAAACUUACGCAGCCCAUUGCAUUCCAUUGACAGCAAAAGCAGAAGAUAUAGGGGUGUUAGGAUUGAUAUCAUAGUAAGGUACUAAACCAACCACAACAAUGGAUACUAUCAUAUACAAUCCACAACAUAGUGACAAUGAAGCUGCAAUUCCUAGUGGCAAAUCUC
rnacentral:lncRNA from 1 species